CAGAAUUGGUAAAUAGUAAUCCCUAUGCAUGUUAUCUACCUAUAUGCAUACAUAAAUGACCAUCUCCUUUUUCACUAGAGUCCCCAUGGUUAUUACAAAUUAUUACAGACUCAAAUGAAUCAAGAAGGGUAAAAAAAAAUACAUCAGAACUUCCAGCUGCAACCAAACAGCCUAAUUCACACUCAAGGUCUAACAAUAUGAGAUAAACCAACUUCCAGGAUCCGUUUUCCAAAAGCCUUUUUCUUAUUUGGGAUGUGUCAAAGUUCGCAAGAGUCUCAAAGGGACUCAUGGCAGUGCAUACACCCCAAACACAUUAGAUUAUAGUGCAGUGUGAAAGACUCAGCCCUCAAGUGUCCAAGUUCAGAGGGAACUUAGGGUCCCAAAGCAUGGCUCAUAUGAGGGGGACAAAACUUAGAAUCUAGUAGUAAGUGUAAGUUCAUAAAGGGGGAAUCCGGGAAAGCCAUGGUAGGCUGGUAGUCAUGCCCAGCAAUUGGGAACAUUGGCACACCCCUGACUGGCCUGUUAGCCAAACUUAAAAGUUAGGAUCCACUGUGGAUCAGGUUAUGGUCUGGGCAGUAAUUUGGAUACUGCCAGGCCAAGAACCUUAACUCAAAC
rnacentral:lncRNA from 1 species